rnacentral:rRNA from 1 species
AUUGAACGCUGGCGGCAGGCUUAACACAUGCAAGUCGAGCGAGCGGCGGAAGGGUGAGUAAUGUCUGGGAAACUGCCUGAUGGAGGGGGAUAACUACUGGAACCGGUAGCUAAUACGGCAUACCAGCAGAUGUGCCCAGAUGGGAUUAGCUAGUAGGUGGGGUAAUGGCUCAACUAGGCGACGAACCCUAGCUGGUCUGAGAGGAUGACCAGCCUGACUGGAACGGGGAUACGGUCCAGAGUCCUACGGGAGGCAGCAGUGGGGAAUAUUGCACAAUGGGCGCAAGCCUGAUGCAGCCAUGCCGCGUGUGGGAAGAAGGCCUUCGGGUUGUAAAGCACUUGCAGCGAGGAGGCGUUACUCGCAGAAGAAGCACCGGCUAACUCCGUGCCAGCAGCCGCGGUAAUAC